rnacentral:rRNA from 1 species
CCUACGGGGUGCAGCAGUGGGGAAUAUUGCACAAUGGGCGCAAGCCUGAUGCAGCCAUGCCGCGUGUAUGAAGAAGGCCUUCGGGUUGUAAAGUACUUUCAGCGAGGAGGAAGGCGUUAAGGUUAAUAACCUUAGCGAUUGACGUUACUCGCAGAAGAAGCACCGGCUAACUCCGUGCCAGCAGCCGCGGUAAUACGGAGGGUGCAAGCGUUAAUCGGAAUUACUGGGCGUAGAGCGCACGCAGGCGGUCUGUCAAGUCGGAUGUGAAAUCCCCGGGCUCAACCUGGGAACUGCAUUCGAAACUGGCAGGCUAGAGUCUUGUAGAGGGGGGUAGAAUUCCAGGUGUAGCGGUGAAAUUCGUAGAUAUUCGGAGGAAUACCAGUGGCGAAGGCGGCUUACUGGUCUGCAACUGACGCUGAGGCGCGAAAGCGUGGGGAGCAAACAGGAUUAGAUACCCGAGUAGUC